rnacentral:rRNA from 1 species
UACAGAGGGGGCAAGCGUUGUUCGGAAUUACUGGGCGUAAAGGGCGCGUAGGCGGCCUGUUAAGUCGAACGUGAAAUCCCUGGGCUCAACCCAGGAACUGCGUCCGAUACUGGCAGGCUUGAAUUCGGGAGAGGGAUGUGGAAUUCCAGGUGUAGCGGUGAAAUGCGUAGAUAUCUGGAGGAACACCGGUGGCGAAGGCGGCAUCCUGGACCAACACUGACACUGAGGAGCGAAAGCCAGGGGAGCAAACGGG